CAGCCGCCGCGGUAAUACGUAGGUGGCAAGCGUUGUCCGGAAUUAUUGGGCGUAAAGCGCGCGCAGGCGGUCCUUUAAGUCUGAUGUGAAAGCCCCCGGCUCAACCGGGGAGGGUCAUUGGAAACUGGGGGACUUGAGUGCAGGAGAGGGAAGUGGAAUUCCACGUGUAGCGGUGAAAUGCGUAGAGAUGUGGAGGAACACCAGUGGCGAAGGCGGCUUCCUGGCCUGUAACUGACGCUGAGGCGCGAAAGCGUGGGGAGCAAACAGGAUUAGAUACCCUGGUAGUCCACGCCGUAAACGAUGAGUGCUAAGUGUUAGGGGGUUUCCGCCCCUUAGUGCUGCAGCUAACGCAUUAAGCACUCCGCCUGGGGAGUACGGCCGCAAGGCUGAAACUUAAAGGAAUUGGCGGG
rnacentral:rRNA from 1 species